UACGUAGGCAGCGAGCGUUGUUCGGAGUUACUGGGCGUAAAGGGUGUGUAGGCGGUUGUUUAAGUUUGGUGUGAAAUCUCCCGGCUCAACUGGGAGGGUGCGCCGAAUACUGAAUGACUUCGAGUGCGGGAGAGGAAAGUGGAAUUCCUGGUGUAGCGGUGAAAUGCGUAGAUAUCAGGAGGAACACCAGUGGCGAAGGCGGUGCUCUGGGCCGGAACUGACGCUGAGGAGCGAAAGCGUGGGGAGCAAACAGG
rnacentral:rRNA from 1 species